CCGACCUGGAUCCACUUGCUCGAUCUGUGCCAGGAGGCUCGUCGCCGGGCGCCGGUGCUCGUCGGCGCCUCCGUGGGACGGGGAGCGCUGGCUCCUCCGUGCGGUCGGCCUCCUCGUCGAUCUCGCGCCGCACCACCGCCGGGUAAUCUGAUAUCUCUGACAGGGAAAGUUCAAUUCUGUCAAAGGAUUCAACUCUGUGGUUCUUUUUUUUUCCUCUCGAACACGCAGGAGAGCUGCGUAUCAUCGUAUUAAUAGAAGAAGAGAGUCAUACACAGACCCGAAUACACACCCACACUCUAUCCCUGCAAGAACUUAAUCACCUGUGCUUUUCAAGGAAGACCUGACCACACCAUCCACUAAGGCACAACAACACUAGCUGUGUGUAAGGGCAGCCCCUUAGCACCAGCUAAACUCCACAAAUGGGCUUCCUCCCUAGCACGGGCAAGAGCCACAGGAAUGCUAGGGGCAGCACCGUUGAACACACAAUCAUUUCUAAGUUUCUAGAUGGUCCAA